AAACAGAAAUAGAGCAACGUUCUUCUCGGCAAGACACAAAAUCGUAAUUCAAUUUCUCAACCUCUGAAUCUCAAAUCUCCGAUUCGAAAUCCGGCGAACAUGGUGAGAGAUAUUGAGGCUGAGAUUAGAGACGACCAAUGAUCAUGGUAGCGAAGCAUUCUUCGUCAAAGUCUCUGACUCUCCCCACGCCACUUACGUUCCGAUGAAAUCCAACUACGGCAGUUUGUUUACAUUCGCGGUGGUCUACACAUUGAGAAAGGUUGCCCUGUUCCUGUAAUCCGUGGGUUGAAACCAGUCCCCAAGCGGAGGCUCUGCGUUGGAAACCCUUACCCUAGUGAUCUUGAUUCUAGCGACUUGCUGAUUCCUUUCACCGUGGCCUCUGUUUCGCCGACGACGAAAAAGAAGAAUCUUGUUGAGAUGAGGAUGAGUUUGGAUUCCACGAGAAGGAGUUGUUGCGGUCAGAGUCCUCCGGUGAUUCAUCGCCGUGACGCCGCAUUGCUUCUUUCUUCAUCACGUCUCAAACCCAAAUCGGGGUUAGGGCCUUACUCUGCACCUAUCAAGAAAGCUGAGAAAGAGAUUUAAGGAACUCGCCAAGAAGAUCAACGAUCUAUGUGGUACCAAGGAGUCUGAUGGUUUAGCUCGUCCCAGUCAAUGGGAUCUUGUAUCUGAUAAGCAAAUGAAGCAAGAGGAGC